GAUGAAGAACCCAGCGAAAUGCGAUAAGUAAUGUGAAUUGCAGAAUUCAGUGAAUCAUCGAAUCUUUGAACGCACAUUGCGCCCGCUAGUAUUCUGGCGGGCAUGCCUGUCCGAGCGUCAUUUCAACCCUCAAGCCCCCGGGCUUGGUGUUGGGGAUCGGCGAGCCUCCGCGCCCGCCGUCCCCUAAAUCUAGUGGCGGUCUCGCUGUAGCUUCCUCUGCGUAGUAGCACACCUCGCACUGGGAAACAGCGCGGCCACGCCGUUAAACCCCCAACUUCUGAACGUUUGACCUCGGAUCAGGUAGGAAUACCCGCUGAACUUAAGCAUAUCAAUAAGCGGAGGA
rnacentral:misc_RNA from 1 species